rnacentral:rRNA from 1 species
GUGUCAGCCGCCGCGGUAAGACGAACCGAGCAAACGUUAUUCGGAAUCACUGGGCUUAAAGGGCGCGUAGGCGGUCUCGUAAGUCUGCGGUGAAAUCCUCCAGCUCAACUGGAGAACGGCCGUGGAUACUGCGAGUCUCGAGGGAGGUAGGGGCGUGCGGAACAGAUGGUGGAGCGGUGAAAUGCGUUGAUAUCAUCUGGAACUCCGGUGGCGAAGGCGGCACGCUGGACCUCUUCUGACGCUGAGGCGCGAAAGCCAGGGGAGCAAACGGGAUUAGAAACCCCCGUAGUCC